AUUGAACGCUGGCGGAAUGCUUUACACAUGCAAGUCGAACGGCAGCACGGGGCAACCUGGUGGCGAGUGGCGAACGGGUGAGUAAUACAUCGGAACGUGCCCAAUCGUGGGGGAUAACGUAGCGAAAGUUACGCUAAUACCGCAUACGAUCUACGGAUGAAAGCGGGGGAUCGCAAGACCUCGCGCGAAUGGAGCGGCCGAUGUCAGAUUAGGUAGUUGGUGGGGUAAAGGCUCACCAAGCCAACGAUCUGUAGCUGGUCUGAGAGGAUGAUCCGCCACACUGGGACUGAGACACGGCCCAGACUCCUACGGGAGGCAGCAGUGGGGAAUUUUGGACAAUGGGCGCAAGCCUGAUCCAGCCAUGCCGCGUGAGUGAAGAAGGCCUCGG
rnacentral:rRNA from 1 species